rnacentral:rRNA from 1 species
CUUGGUCAUUUAGAGGAAGUAAAAGUCGUAACAAGGUUUCUGUAGGUGAACCUGCAGAAGGAUCAUUAAUGAGAAUAGGGGGCUGGAUUCUUCAUCCGCCCCCGACCUUUCGAUCCACACACACCUGUGCACACACAACUAUACCCGCCUAGCUUCGGCCAAGGUGUGGUAGUCACUUUUUAACACGGUUAUUGAGUGUAAAUACAAAUCCUCCAAAGCGGGGUGAAAGUUAAAUACAACUUUCGGCAAUGGAUCUCUUGGUUCUCCUAUCGAUGAAGAACGCAGCGAAUUGCGAUAAGUAAUGUGAAUUGCAGAAGUCAGUGAAUCAUCGAAUCUUUGAACGCAUCUUGCGCCCUUUGGUAUUCCUUAGGGCAUGCCUGUUUGAGUGUCACGAAUACUGUUUGGACCAAGUCUUUUUUCUUAAUGUUAAUCGACGAGGUUCCAGCGUUGAGCGUCUGCCUCGCCUUUCGGCUUGGCUCGCUUUAAAUGUAUUAGCUGGGUUGGCUGGUUGCAGCCUUCACCUUUGGUAUGAUAAGUAUUAUGCCGUUGGUUGAGGGUAGCGCCGUUCUAUAGUCGCCUGCUUCUAAUCAAGGAGUGGUAUUGAACCUUGCUGUGCUUGCACGGUGUGGGGCGGUGCUUACUCGCACUAUAUUCAAAUCUGGCCUCAAAUGAGGGAGGACUACCCGAUGAACUUAAGCAUAUUAAUAAG